rnacentral:tmRNA from 1 species
GGGGAUGCAUUGCAUCGACAAGAUUUGUACGUUAAAAACUGCAAGCCGACUUUGAUACUAGUCGCAAAACAGAUUCAAAGAAUACAUGCUAACGAUUAUCGUUAUGCGUUCAAUUUUGCUGGCGUAAGCAAUUACCUUUCAGCUUAAAAGAACUGUCUAUAGAAUCUUUUUUCAACGGGACUUUAUAGGCAUAAACACAGUUGAGAAAAAGAUAAGGAAACGGUUGAUCUUUAUUGUUUUUUAAACCUUAGUUUUAUUCUAUCCUGUCAAUUGGUAAAGAGUAAAAUGAAUUUCAAAAAUUGAAUACGCUUGUAGAAGUUUUUAAUAUAUGGUCUUGGACUCGAGUUCAUUGCUCGACAUCUCCACAA